rnacentral:lncRNA from 10 species
CCCAGGUUGAAGAUUUGGCCAGAGGCGAGCAGUUAAAGUGUCACUUAACAUUCUGGAGAAUGUGAAAUAUACUGCGCGGUGUCAACUCCCCAAAACCAUAAAACUAACUUUAUGGACCUCACGUGACUUUCUCGAGCCAGUGAGGGGUAUCUGUCUGACUUCUCGGCGAUUUUUACGAUCUAACUUCGAGAUAAAACCCCUAUCCAUUUGACAUCUAAAUGUCAUAGCGACUUUUGGGAUAGUUUGCUAUCGACAAAGGGAGACAAAGUCAAGGGGUGAAGGGAAAGGAGGGCCAAGUAGAGCCUCCACGACCCUCGGCUUCCUCCUCACCAGCUCCCCCUCCCUCCAAGUCCAGUAAGAAGUUGGGCCAAGCUGGAAGGGAUUGACCGGGUUGCUUGUCUGGAGAUGGAGCCACUACAGGCGGGCCUGGGCGCCUGGAGUCGGGCAUGAAAGAAAAUAGCGCCUCAUCGCUCUUAUCUAAGCCCAGAGGUAGACUUCGCUUGAAAAGAUCGAGAAUGGAGGAGGGGAUCGGCACUCACUUGCAGACAUCAACAGUUUCCAGAAAAUUCGGUUCAAUUCCUUCACCACGGACCCACCAACCAAGGAGCUGGCAAAACCCACUAACCAACCAGGAGAACACAGACCCGGUUUGUCUUUUGACAACCGAGUGGAACUGACGGGGCCGGCGCCUGCCCUGCGGGUCCCCUCCCUUGGCUGAGAAGAAAACCAAAUAAACCUUGAACAGCCUUGGCUUCGGAUGUCUCAAGCGGCCUCAUCCUCUCCCGCGCCUUGGUGGGGUGGGGGUGGGGAUGGCGGUGGGGGUGUCGGCUCUGAUCCCUCCACCCUUUGAUUCAGGGCCCCUGCCCGCUGGAAGCAGAAUUAGACCUUUUUAUAUAUGCCCUAGAGGAAGCCGCUUCCCUUGCCAGCCGCCAGGUUUGGGGCUAGGAUGGGCGGGGACGGGGGCAGUGGGAAAUUGGGGAUGAUGGGUGGAGGAGAGACUUCUGUUCUCUAACUCACACCGGGGAACCAAGAUCUAGCUGAGAGCGUCGGUGUGGGCCCGAAAUCCCCCGAAUCCCGUGGACCCUGCGAGGCCGGGGCUCCAGGCGUCGGGCACCUCUGGACAGUGUCGCGGGGCUUGCGGCGCCGAAGCCGCGUGUCUCCGAACGGACGGUAGAUGGCAGCAGACCGCAUAAUUUGGGUCACAGCGAACUGUCUAAGGGAGGAUUUAUAACCCUCCAAGACUACAGGAGAAAAAGACCUUUAGUAUGGGUGGGUUUGGGAAAUUUUUCCCUUGAGAAUAGUCCCCGAGUGCCGUGGGUGCUGGCGGAGAACUCUAGCUACGAAGCCCAGCGGUCCCUCCAGGCGCCCAGGCCGGGCCUGAACCUAGGGCAUCUACCUGGGGCCACAGAGCCGCCUCUUCCGCGCCACAAGUGGCAGCGUCGUCCCUCUCCUAGCUUAGGACUGAGAUAAUAAAUAUAUCCCCACUUCCAAAACGCCCCAGACCCUGUAACUCCGGGGCAACCAGAGGCCCGAGGCUGAAUGUCCUGCAUCUGGUCUUAAGAAAGAGAAAAGCAAUCACAUGUUCGUGCAAACCAGACUAAAAAUCACAAUUUCUCCUGCCCUCCACAGCCAACAUCACUUAUCUCUUGGCUGGAAGCUUCCCCAGAAGCUCCCUUACCCCAUUUUUAAGUCCUUGCCUCAAGGCUGGCACCUACUUCCACCCCACGAGCUACUUUAGGAAUCUCUGUCACCUGCCCAAUGUUCUCCGCCCUCCCCACCCCCUAGAAGGCCUGACUGAGGGAUAAAAUUGGACACCCGAGGGACGGGACUGUCUGAGCUCAGUGCCAGUUAGCUUUUCAGUUUAGACGCCGCUAGGUCCCAUAAUUGGAUUUUCUUUUUAUUUUCUUCUUUCAUUUCUUUCUCUUUUAUUUUUAUUUACAAGCCUAAAACAAAAAGGCACUUAACAGCUUCUUCACAAUCACCAUGUCUGGACCCAGGAAAGUUUGAAAUGUUAUCAUAUCAGACACACACAUGGCAAUUUUUUCCUCCACCGAAAUCCACACAUCCCAUACCAAUACAACGCAAGUAAUAGAAUCAGUAUCACGCAGAAACCAACAGCUGUAACCUACCGCAUUAAAACCACAAAACUGUCUCCCUGUAGAGCGAGGCUCCCUCCUGCGGGAGUGGCGAGAUACUUGGGCAUUCUCGGGCAGGCUUCCUGCCGUUUCCUCUCCCUCGCCGGCCUCGGCGGAGAUUCCAGGCCCUAUAGAAACCAGGACGUCCCUUAGCGCCACCGCCUCACAUGCCAGUGCUGCCGGGAACCCAGCGAUAUCCGCACCAGCGGAGAAGGUUCCAGGCUGCCGGCGGCGGCGCAGAGAGCGGGAAGAGAGGCUCGGAGGAAGCCCCGGGCGUGGCGUGGUCAGGCUCCGAGAGCGGCCGGGAUGCGGCCACACCGGCCUGGUAAACUCGCACCUCUUAGGAUCUUGCUCCCGGACUCAUUCCCUUCCCCACCCCCUAUUUUAAAGUUUUAUUUGGGUCGUCUGUAUCAAUUUAGAACGAGAUAAAUUAAGACAAAGAAAGUAAAAUAAAUCGAAAUAAAAUAUAGGAAUAGCUCUUGGCGAAAAUGUUUGCCGUGCGAGCAGGAAGCCGUGAGCGCCCUAGUUGGAGGCUGCUCUGCGCCGACUAAGAGGCCUCUACUCCCAGGCCUGGCCUCUACGCAACGCCACCCAAGAAGCCAGAGUGAAUUUGGGUGUUCAUUUUCCCUUUCCUUCCGCUCUUCCUUCAUGUGGGGCCUAGCAGCUUGGAUUUCAGCUCCGUCUUUGUGCCUGGGCUGCAGCCCAGAUCCAGAUCCCGCAGCUUGGUUUCCAGGCCUGAAUGAGGACGCGGGUUUGUGAAACUGUGAGGUUUUUGUUUUGUUGUUUUGUGAGCUUGUGUGACUAAGCAUGUGGGCUUCUGAGUGCGUUUACUUGGGGGCAAAUGUGAAUCUGUGUUUAUAAGCCAAUGUGUGAAUGUACGUUGGUAUCAAUGUGUCUGUGAGUGUGAAUGUGUGUUUACUUGUGAGCGUGUGUGAACAUGAAUGCCUA